rnacentral:rRNA from 1 species
AUCAUUACCGAGUGAGGGCCCUCUGGGUCCAACCUCCCACCCGUGUCUAUCGUACCUUGUUGCUUCGGCGGGCCCGCCGUUUCGACGGCCGCCGGGGAGGCCUUGCGCCCCCGGGCCCGCGCCCGCCGAAGACCCCAACAUGAACGCUGUUCUGAAAGUAUGCAGUCUGAGUUGAUUAUCGUAAUCAGUUAAAACUUUCAACAACGGAUCUCUUGGUUCCGGCAUCGAUGAAGAACGCAGCGAAAUGCGAUAAGUAAUGUGAAUUGCAGAAUUCAGUGAAUCAUCGAGUCUUUGAACGCACAUUGCGCCCCCUGGUAUUCCGGGGGGCAUGCCUGUCCGAGCGUCAUUGCUGCCCUCAAGCACGGCUUGUGUGUUGGGCCCCCGUCCCCCUCUCCCGGGGGACGGGCCCGAAAGGCAGCGGCGGCACCGCGUCCGGUCCUCGAGCGUAUGGGGCUUUGUCACCUGCUCUGUAGGCCCGGCCGGCGCCAGCCGACACCCAACUUUAUUUUUCUAAGGUUGACCUCGGAUCAGGUAGGGAUACCCGCUGAACUUAAGCAUAUCAAUAAGCGGGAGGAAAAGAAACCAACAGGGAUUGCCUCAGUAACGGGCGAGUGAAGCGGCAAGAGCUCAAAUUUGAAAGCUGGCCUCUUCGGGGUCCGCGUUGUAAUUUGCAGAGGAUGCUUCGGGUGCAGCCCCCGUCUAAGUGCCCUGGAACGGGCCGUCAUAGAGGGUGAGAAUCCCGUCUGGGACGGGGUGUCUGCGUCCGUGUGAAGCUCCUUCGACGAGUCGAGUUGUUUGGGGAAUGCAGCUCUAAAUGGGUGGUAAAUUUCAUCUAAAGCUAAAUACUGGCCGGAGACCGAUAGCGCACAAGUAGAGUGAUCGAAAGAUGAAAAGCACUUUGAAAAGAGAGUUAAACAGCACGUGAAAUUGUUGAAAGGGAAGCGUUUGCGACCAGACUCGCCCGCGGGGUUCAGCCGGCAUUCGUGCCGGUGUACUUCCCCGUGGGCGGGCCAGCGUCGGUUUGGGCGGCCGGUCAAAGGCCCUCGGAAUGUAUCACCUCUCGGGGUGUCUUAUAGCCGAGGGUGCAAUGCGGCCUGCCUGGACCGAGGAACGCGCUUCGGCUCGGACGCUGGCGUAAUGGUCGUAAAUGACCCGUCUUGAAACACGGACC